rnacentral:rRNA from 1 species
AACGAACGCUGGCGGCAUGCCUAACACAUGCAAGUCGAACGAGACCUUCGGGUCUAGUGGCGCACGGGUGCGUAACGCGUGGGAACCUGCCCUUAGGCUCGGAAUAACUCUCCGAAAGGGGUGCUAAUACCGGAUAAUGUCUUCGGACCAAAGAUUUAUCGACUUUGGAUGGGCCCGCGUUGGAUUAGCUAGUUGGUAGGGUAAAAGCCUACCAAGGCGACGAUCCAUAGCUGGUCUGAGAGGAUGAUCAGCCACACUGGGACUGAGACACGGCCCAGACUCCUACGGGAGGCAGCAGUGGGGAAUAUUGGACAAUGGGCGAAAGCCUGAUCCAGCAAUGCCGCGUGAGUGAUGAAGGCCUUAGGGUUGUAAAGCUCUUUUACCCGGGAUGAUAAUGACAGUACCGGGAGAAUAAGCUCCGGCUAACUCCGUG